AAAACGACUCUCGGCAACGGAUAUCUCGGCUCUCGCAUCGAUGAAGAACGUAGCGAAAUGCGAUACUUGGUGUGAAUUGCAGAAUCCCGUGAACCAUCGAGUCUUUGAACGCAAGUUGCGCCCCAAGCCUUCGGGCCGAGGGCACGUCUGCCUGGGUGUCACGC
rnacentral:rRNA from 1 species